UGGGGGAUAUUGCACAAUGGGCGAAAGCCAGAUGCAGCGACGCCGCGUGGGGGAUGAAGGCUUUCGGGUUGUAAACCUCUUUCGCUAUCGAACAAGGCCCGCUUAGGGUGGGUUGAGGGUAGGUGGAGAAGAAGCGCCGGCUAACUACGUGCCAGCAGCCGCGGUAAUACGUAGGGCGCGAGCGUUGUCCGGAAUUAUUGGGCGUAAAGGGCUUGUAGGCGGCUUGUUGCGCCUGCUGUGAAAACGCGGGGCUUAACUUCGCGCGUGCAGUGGGUACGGGCAGGCUUGAGUGUGGUAGGGGUGACUGGAAUUCCAGGUGUAGCGGUGGAAUGCGCAGAUAUCUGGAGGAACACCGAUGGCGAAGGCAGGUCACUGGGCCAUUACUGACGCUGAGGAGCGAAAGCAUGGGUAGCGAACAGG
rnacentral:rRNA from 1 species